UGAGGAAUAUUGGGCAAUGCCCGCAAGGGUGACCCAGCAACGCCGCGUGGAGGAUGAAUGUCGUAAGAUUGUAAACUCCUGUUAGAGGGGAAGAAUAGUACCGGUUGGACCGGUAUAUGACUGUACCCUCAGAGAAAGCCCCGGCUAACUACGUGCCAGCAGCCGCGGUAAUACGUAGGGGGCAAGCGUUGUCCGGAUUUACUGGGUGUAAAGGGCGCGUAGGCGGGAUAAAAAGUCAGUGGUGAAAUCCUACAGCUUAACUGUAGAACUGCCUUUGAUACUUUUAUUCUUGAGUUCGGGAGAGAGAGACGGAAUUCCAGGUGUAGUGGUGAAAUACGUAGAUAUCUGGAAGAACACCAGUUGCGAAGGCGGUCUCUUGGUCCGACACUGACGCUGAGGCGCGAAAGCGUGGGGAGCAAACA
rnacentral:rRNA from 1 species